GCGGCCUUGAUCCAGCCUGGUCAGGAUAGUGGCUUCCCAAGCCAUUCGCCCGGGUUCGAAUCCCGGAGGCCGCACCA
rnacentral:tRNA from 1 species